CGGAAGCCCCAUCCCCCGCGAGUCCCCGACAAGCUGGACAGGGUCCGAGAGCAGCGGGGCUGAGGGGCCUAGGCCUGCGCCGUUUUGAGUGUGACCCCAGCUGUUUGUGAAGAUCGGGGCAGAUGAGAAAACUGACUCACGGAAACCCGGAAACAGACAGAGACUGGCUCAAAUGCUGCUUUUCCGACUCCACUCAUUACAAGCUGCUUCCUCAACACCAAACUUGGCAGUCGUGGUUCUUGCCUUGCAGGAGUAUCCUGCGCACAUCUAGGAGCAGAGAUUUGGC